rnacentral:rRNA from 1 species
GAUGAACGCUGGCGGCGUGCUUAACACAUGCAAGUCGAACGGGAAUUAUUUUAUUGACACUUCGGUCGAUUUAAUUUAAUUCUAGUGGCGGACGGGUGAGUAACGCGUGGGUAACCUGCCUUAUACAGGGGGAUAACAGUCAGAAAUGGCUGCUAAUACCGCAUAAGCGCACAGAGCUGCAUGGCUCAGUGUGAAAAACUCCGGUGGUAUAAGAUGGACCCGCGUUGGAUUAGCUUGUUGGCAGGGUAACGGCCUACCAAGGCGACGAUCCAUAGCCGGCCUGAGAGGGUGAACGGCCACAUUGGGACUGAGACACGGCCCAGACUCCUACGGGAGGCAGCAGUGGGGAAUAUUGCACAAUGGGGGAAACCCUGAUGCAGCGACGCCGCGUGAAGGAAGAAGUAUCUCGGUAUGUAAACUUCUAUCAGCAGGGAAGAUAGUGACGGUACCUGACUAAGAAGCCCCGGCUAACUACGUG